rnacentral:rRNA from 1 species
UGUCCGGAAUUAUUGGGCGUAAAGCGCGCGCAGGCGGAUUGGUCAGUCUGUCUUAAAAGUUCGGGGCUUAACCCCGUGAUGGGAUGGAAACUGCCAAUCUAGAGUAUCGGAGAGGAAAGUGGAAUUCCUAGUGUAGCGGUGAAAUGCGUAGAUAUUAGGAAGAACACCAGUGGCGAAGGCGACUUUCUGGACGAAAACUGACGCUGAGGCGCGAAAGCCAGGGGAGCGAACGGGAUUAGAUACCCCGGUAGUCCUGGCCGUAAACGAUGGGUACUAGGUGUAGGAGGUAUCGACCCCUUCUGUGCCGGAGUUAACGCAAUAAGUACCCCGCCUGGGGAGUACGACCGCAAGGUUGAAACUCAAAGGAAUUGACGGGGGCCCGCMCAAGCGGUGGAGUAUGUGGUUUAAUUCGACGCAACGCGAAGAAC